GAUGAACGCUGGCGGCGUGCCUAAUACAUGCAAGUCGAGCGAACAGACGAGGAGCUUGCUCCUCUGACGUUAGCGGCGGACGGGUGAGUAACACGUGGAUAACCUACCUAUAAGACUGGGAUAACUUCGGGAAACCGGAGCUAAUACCGGAUAAUAUAUUGAACCGCAUGGUUCAAUAGUGAAAGACGGUUUUGCUGUCACUUAUAGAUGGAUCCGCGCCGCAUUAGCUAGUUGGUAAGGUAACGGCUUACCAAGGCAACGAUGCGUAGCCGACCUGAGAGGGUGAUCGGCCACACUGGAACUGGGACACGGUCCAGACUCCUACGGGAGGCAGCAGUAGGGAAUCUUCCGCAAUGGGCGAAAGCCUGACGGAGCAACGCCGCGUGAGUGACGAAGGUCUUCGGAUCGUAAAACUCUGUUAUUAGGGAAGAACAAAUGUGUAAGUAACUAUGCACGUCUUGACGGUACCUAAUCAGAAAGCCACGGCUAACUACGUG
rnacentral:rRNA from 1 species